rnacentral:rRNA from 1 species
AAAUGAAUAGACGGGGGCCCGCACAAGCAGCGGAGCGUGUGGUUUAAUUCGACGCAACGCGAAGAACCUUACCAAGGCUUGACAUCCCUCGCCAUCUGCGGAAACGUAGAGUUCCCUUCGGGGACGAGGAGACAGGUGGUGCACGGUUGUCGUCAGCUCGUGUCGUGAGAUGUUGGGUUAAGUCCCGCAACGAGCGCAACCCCUGUGCUUAGUUGCCAUCAUUAAGUUGGGCACUCUAAGCAGACUGCCGGUGACAAACCGGAGGAAGGUGGGGAUGACGUCAAAUCAUCAUGCCCCUUAUGUCUUGGGCUACACACGCGCUACAAUGGUCUGUACAGAGGGCAGCGACACCGCGAGGUGAAGCGAAUCCCAUAAAACAGAUCCCAGUUCGGAUUGCAGGCUGCAACUCGCCUGCAUGAAGUCGGAGUUGCUAGUAAUCGCGGAUCAGCACGCCGCGGUGAAUGCGUUCCCGGGCCUUGUACACACCGCCCGU